AAGGGUGUAGCUCAGUGGUAGAGCACUUGCCUAGUGCACAAGAGUCUGGGUUCCAUCUCCAGCAAUGAAA
rnacentral:tRNA from 1 species